rnacentral:lncRNA from 1 species
CGAAAUUCAGUUUUUGCGGGAAUGAGGGAAUGCAAGGGUGGAGGGUGCAAUCACUAAAACCUCGAGGUUUGUUACGUUUGUAUUUUGUAUGCUUAGGCAAGUUCUUAGGAGUAAUUUGUAUUCUUGGGACUAAUUUUUAGUGGGGCAGAGGGAGUGACAGAAUCAAGCAUAGCUACGGGUAACCUCAUUUCCUGUCGGAAAUCGGCGAUGGCGACCGCCGGAAAACCCCGCUCCGCCGCCUCCACUGCCACCUCAGAUCGGUCUCCGGAAGUUAAGUCGUUCGAUUUCUCCCAAGGAUCUCCUGUAAGAGCCGCUCUCUCAAAUGAUCAAAUCCGGUACUGCUCUGAAGCUCUCGAUUUUUUCAAGGAAAAGAGAAUCAACCAGCAUCCGAAACUCUACCUGGAGUUCCAGAAUUUGCAGGUUAUUCAAUUUGAUAUUUUAAAUUUAUAUUUAUUUCGCGAUUGAGAAUGGCGGAGUCGUAUGAGUAGUUAAGUUUUGAUUAGCAGGAUCGCUGGUGAUCAAUGUGAGUUACUUUGCGAGGGUGAGUAUCAAGUAGACAAGAAGGAUUUGGUAUAAAAAAUAGAGUUUGGAUACAUGAUAAUAUAUGAUGUAAUAUAAAAUGUGGUAAUUUGGGGGAAAACAUUGUACUGAUUAUGUAGUUAAAAUUUGUUGAGGUGUUGCCCAAAUAGCAGUGUGAUUAUUCAGAAAGUAAAUAAUUAUACAUUGAAUGCACAAGUCUUUGUUUUUGUUAACGCCAGGAUCUUCUGUCACGUCCCAAUCACAUAAGACGUCCUGAUCCUACACAGUAAACACGAUAAACACCACAAGCUUGACAGCCGGACCGCCGGGGAUAGCUCAGGCGUGAGAGUAAGUAUAUGUGUUCACAAGGUUAACAAGAGAGGAUAAUAAUGUCUAGUGUAAUGAGAGAGAUAAUAAAUCUCAGUUGUGUGUAUGUGAAUAUAUGAAAACGUACCUCUUUGUGAAGACUUAAUUGAUAGGUUACACUCUCUUUGUCCGGUUUACCGUGCCACCCACUACUUCUGACACGGCCCCCAUGAUCUGAUGGGUCCUGUCGUCUGCCUGCAGUCUACUCACUACCUUUGGUCACUGUUUAUACUGCCGGUCGGCUAUAAUCUCAUCCACAUUAAUGCAUGGCAGAUAUCUCAGUCAACUGUCAUGCUAUAUCAUCAUUACAAGUCAAAGUAAUAGAUAUUAAAUAAUCCAAUGGGUUAAUCCAACGAACCGACCCGGUCUUAUAGAAUUAAAUAAAGAUAACACGGUGACUAGGCCCAACGACUUUCAUGGCUCAAUAACAAAAGCCCAAUGGAUUUAAUUUAAUAAGUGAACCCAAUUUACCCGGCCCAAAGAAGGGAAAUAUCAUGACUUUCCCUUCCCUUCCCUUCUUUGGGCCGGGUAAAUUGGGUUCACUUAUUAAAUUAAAUCCAUUGGGCUUUUGUUAUUGAGCCAUGAAAGUCGUUGGGCCUAGUCACCGUGUUAUCUUUAUUUAAUCCUAUAAGACCGGGUCGGUUCGUUGGAUUAACCCAUUGGAUUAUUUAAUAUCUAUUACUUUGACUUGUAAUGAUGAUAUAGCAUGACAGUUGACUGAGAUAUCUGCCAUGCAUUAAUGUGGAUGGGAUUAUAGCCGGCCGGCGGUAUAAACAGUGACCAAAGAUAGUGAGUAGACUGCAGGCAGACGGCAGGACCCAUCAGAUCAUGGGGGCCGUGUCAGAAGUAGUGGGUGACACGGUAAACCGGGCAAAGAGAGUGUAACCUAUCAACUAAGUCUUCACAAAGAGGUACGUUUUCAUAUAUUCACAUACACACAACUGAGAUUUAUUAUCUCUCUCAUUACACUAGACAUUAUUAUCCUCUCUUGUUAACCUUGUGAACACAUAUACUUACUCUCACGCCUGAGCUAUCCCCCGGCGGUCUGGCCGUCAAGCUUGUGGUGUUUAUCGUGUUUACUGUGUAGGAUCAGGACGUCUUACGUGAUUGGGACGUGGCAGAAGAUCCUGGCGUUAACAUUGGCGCUAGAAGGAGGGCUGAGUUCUAGUGUCCUGAGUAUAUUUUUCAAUCACAGACUGUGUUUAUUCUAUAUCAGUAUUCAUGGUGAAGAGUAGAACACCUACACCCGAAGGACAGCCGAUGGCUGUCAGUGAAUCAGCACCGCG